CAGUCGCCACGGUAAUACGUAGGGUGCAAGCGUUAAUCGGAAUUACUGGGCGUAAAGCGUGCGUAGGCGGCUUCUUAAGUCGGAUGUGAAAUCCCUGAGCUUAACUUAGGAAUUGCAUUCGAUACUGGGAAGCUAGAGUAUGUGAGAGGAUGGUAGAAUUCCAGGUGUAGCGGUGAAAUGCGUAGAGAUCUGGAGGAAUACCGAUGGCGAAGGCAGCCAUCUGGCCUAAUACUGACGCUGAGGUACGAAAGCAUGGGGAGCAAACAGGAUUAGAUACCCGCGUAGUCCCUGUCUCUUAUAC
rnacentral:rRNA from 1 species